UGGGGAAUAUUGCACAAUGGGCGCAAGCCUGAUGCAGUCAUGCCGCGUGUGUGAAGAAGGCCUUCGGGUUGUAAAGCACUUUCAGCGAGGAGGAAGGUGGUGAGCUUAAUACGCUCAUCAAUUGACGUUACUCGCAGAAGAAGCACCGGCUAACUCCGUGCCAGCAGCCGCGGUAAUACGGAGGGUGCAAGCGUUAAUCGGAAUUACUGGGCGUAAAGCGCACGCAGGCGGUUUGUUAAGUCAGAUGUGAAAUCCCCGGGCUCAACCUGGGAACUGCAUUUGAAACUGGCAAGCUAGAGUCUCGUAGAGGGGGUAGAAUUCCAGGUGUAGCGGUGAAAUGCGUAGAGAUCUGGAGGAAUACCGGUGGCGAAGGCGGCCCCCUGGANGAAGACUGACGCUCAGGUGCGAAAAGCGUGGGGAGCAAACAGAUUAGAUACCCUGGUAGUCCACGCUGUAAAACGAUGUCGAUUUUUGGAGGUUUGUGCCCCUGAGGCGUGGNUUCCGGACUAACGGUUAAAUGACGCCUAGGGGNGUNCGGCCAAGGUUAAAACUUAAAUGAAUUGC
rnacentral:rRNA from 1 species